rnacentral:rRNA from 1 species
CUGCCUGUAAGACUGGGAUAACUCCGGGAAACCGGAGCUAAUACCGGAUACUAUGUCAAACCGCAUGGUUUGACAUUCAAAGACGGUUUCGGCUGUCACUUACAGAUGGGCCCGCGGCGCAUUAGCUAGUUGGUGAGGUAACGGCUCACCAAGGCGACGAUGCGUAGCCGACCUGAGAGGGUGAUCGGCCACACUGGGACUGAGACACGGCCCAGACUCCUACGGGAGGCAGCAGUAGGGAAUCUUCCGCAAUGGACGAAAGUCUGACGGAGCAACGCCGCGUGAGUGAUGAAGGUUUUCGGAUCGUAAAACUCUGUUGUCAGGGAAGAACAAGUGCCGGAGUAACUGCCGGCGCCUUGACGGUACCUGACCAGAAAGCCACGGCUAACUACGUGCCAGCAGCCGCGGUAAUACGUAGGUGGCAAGCGUUGUCCGGAAUUAUUGGGCGUAAAGCGCGCGCAGGCGGUUUCUUAAGUCUGAUGUGAAAGCCCCCGGCUCAACCGGGGAGGGUCAUUGGAAACUGGGAAACUUGAGUGCAGAAGAGGAGAGUGGAAUUCCACGUGUAGCGGUGAAAUGCGUAGAGAUGUGGAGGAACACCAGUGGCGAAGGCGACUCUCUGGUCUGUAACUGACGCUGAGGCGCGAAAGCGUGGGGAGCGAACAGGAUUAGAUACCCUGGUAGUCCACGCCGUAAACGAUGAGUGCUAAGUGUUAGAGGGUUUCCGCCCUUUAGUGCUGCAGCUAACGCAUUAAGCACUCCGCCUGGGGAGUACGGUCGCAAGACUGAAACUCAAAGGAA